UGGAUUGUAAUUAAAUAAUAAUAUUUAUUUUGCAAAUAAAAAUUAUAUAUAUUAU
rnacentral:tRNA from 1 species